rnacentral:lncRNA from 1 species
UUUUUUUUCUUUUUCUUUUGAGACAGAGUCUCACUCUAUCACCCAGACUGGACUGUGUCAAUAGCAUGUUCCUUUUGCAUUUGUUUGAUUUCUUUCACUGUAAUAUCUGUGAACUUGUAUGUAUCAGUAGUAGGUUUUGUUUUGUGUUUUGGUGGGGUAGUAUUACAUUUUAUGAAUACAGUAGCCCUCCCUUCUCCUCAGGGGACAUGUUCCAAGGCCCCUGCUGUAGACAGCAUCUAACCCAGUUGCCUUCAAUGAGAAUAUGUUUCUGUUCAUAUCUUCCACCCAUUCUUUUCCCUUCUUCACAAUUUAACAGAUAGAGGAUUUAUUCUUACCAUAGAUGUUAGCAACCUCGGAAUACUUGUUUUGUUUUUUGUUUGUUUGUUUGUUUUGUUUUGUUUUUUUGUUUUUUGUUUUUUUUUAGUAAGUCAAGAACCUUCACCUUUUUAUUUAAAGGAAGCACUUUACACUUCUCUUUGGCAUGUCUGCAUAGCCAGCAUUACUACUCUUGCGCUUUGUGGCCAUUAUUAAGUAAAAUAAGAGUUACUUGCACUGCAGUACUGUGGCAGUCAAUCUGAUAACUGAGAGGGACACUAACGGGCAGGGAGUGUCCCCAGCGUGUUUCCACUGGAUGAAGGGGUGAUUUAUGUCCCAGGUGGGAUGGAGCAGGACAGUGCAAGAUUUUAUCACAGUACUCAGAACAGCAUGCAAUGUAAAACUUAUGAGUAGUUUAUUUCUGGAAUUUUUCAUCUGAUAUUUUCAGACCUCGGUUGACUACUGGUAACUGAAAUUGUAGAAAGCACACCUGCAGAUAAGGGUGGGGAACUAUCGUAUUUCUCAUCUUAUUCAUUCCCUUUUGAUGGGCGUUUGGGUUCUAUCUGUAUUUUCUUCUAAGAAGCCUUAUAGUUUUAUGUUUAUGUCUGUAAUUUAUUUUUAAAUUUUUUUAGAGACAGGCUCUUGCUAUAGUACCCAGGCUGGUCUCAAACUCCUGGCCUCAAGCUCUUCUCCCAACAUGGCCUCCCAAAGUGUUGGGAUUACAAGCAUGAACCAGUGUGCCCGGUCUGUGAUCUAUUUUGAGUUAAUUUUUGUGUAUAGUUGAGGUAGCACUGAGGUUCCUUUUUUUCCCCAUAUGGAUAUAUAAUGACUUCCUAUAACAUUGUUUGACUAUUUUUCCUCUCUUAAUUGCGUCAGAGCUUUGUUGAGAAUCAGUUGAUUGUAUAAAUGUAGUUCUGUUUCUGGACUUAAUUCUGUUUAGUUGAUAUCUUUAUUAUUAAGCUAAUAACACACUCCUGAUUCUUCUAGUUUUAUAUUAAGUCUUGAAGAAAGGUAUUAUAAGUCUUUCUUCUCUUUUCAAGAUUGUUUUGGCUAUUCUAGGUCCUUUGCAUUUCCAUAUACACUUUAAAAGCAACCUGUCAAUUUCUGUUAAAAAAUCCUGCUGGGGCAAGGCAUAGUGGCUCACGUGUGUAAUCUCAGCACUUUGGGAGGCUGAGAUGGGAGGAUCACUUGGGCUCAGGAUUUCAAACCAGCUUGGGCAACAUGGUGAGACUCUGUCUCUACAAAAAAACCUAAGAAUUAGCUGAGCGUGGUGGCUUGUGCCUAUGGUCCCAGCUACUUGGGAGGCUAAAGUGGGAGGAUCGCUUGAGCCCAGGAGGUCAAGGCUUCAGAGAGCCGUGGUUGCACCACUGCACUCCAGCCUGGACAACAGAGUGAUACCCUGUAUCAAAAAAAAAAAAAAAUCCUGCUGGGGUUACAAUUGGGGUUGAUAUGAAUCUGUAGAUAAAUUUGGGGAAAAUUGACAUCUUAAUGUUGAGUCUUAUAAUUCAUGAAUAUGAAACCACCUUUGCAGAACUAUAAGUAAUGAGAGAAGUCUAAUAUGGUUGACUCCAUCUUGCUUCCAACCUCUCAAGUUAAAUUGUUUUUUUGUCCAUUCUAAUGUGGGGGCCAAGAUAACUAUAAGAGGAAUUUAGUUUACAGUUAAAACCACAUUCAUAAAACAAAGUUAAAAUUAUGGUAGGGGCUUGAACUUUGCUGAAGAAUAGACAUAGUUGAACAAUGACCCGCCAUUACUUAGCUUGUUUUUGUUAUAUAAGUUGCUUACUGCCCCAGAGUCUUGUAUCUGGGGUCGCAAGAUUUAGAGCUUCUCCAACUUCUCCUGUAGGUAAUAUUACUAUUGUAAAACCUGAAGAA